GGGAAGCAAAACGGCGACGUGGAGNAAACCCCUAAAAACGCGUCCCAGUUCAGAUCGCAGGCUGCAACCCGCCUGCGUGAAGUCGGAAUUGCUAGUAAUCGCGGAUCAGCAUGCCGCGGUGAAUACGUUCCCGGGCCUUGUACACACCGCCCGUCACACCAUGGGAGCCGGUAACACCCGAAGUCAGUAGCCUGACCAAUUCUGGAGGGCGCUGCCGAAGGUGGGAUUGGUGACUGGGGUGAAGUCGUAACAAGGUACC
rnacentral:rRNA from 1 species